rnacentral:misc_RNA from 1 species
GGGAGAAGGACUCGCUUGCAAUAUGAGAUUCUAAGCUUGAUGUGACUGCACCUCAAGUCGCAUUCAGCCUAAAACUUUAAGGCUCGCUUUUGGAGUUGUGUAGAAGGAUGCGACGCAAGAGAGAGAUGUGAUGCAAGAGCUACGUCACAUACUACACUGGCAGCCCGUUUGGGCUGUUUCUGUAUAUAUUUAAGUUUCAUUUUGGGCAUUUAUGUAA